UACGUAGGGUGCGAGCGUUAAUCGGAAUUACUGGGCGUAAAGCGUGCGCAGGCGGCUAUGCAAGACAGAUGUGAAAUCCCCGGGCUCAACCUGGGAGCUGCAUUUGUGACUGCAUGGCUAGAGUACGGUAGAGGGGGAUGGAAUUCCGCGUGUAGCAGUGAAAUGCGUAGAUAUGCGGAGGAACACCGAUGGCGAAGGCAAUCCCCUGGACCUGUACUGACGCUCAUGCACGAAAGCGUGGGGAGCAAACAGG
rnacentral:rRNA from 1 species